UCCUUCGAAGAGUCGAGUUGUUUGGGAAUGCAGCUCAAAAUGGGUGGUAAAUUUCAUCUAAAGCUAAAUAUUGGCGAGAGACCGAUAGCGCACAAGUAGAGUGAUCGAAAGAUGAAAAGCACUUUGAAAAGAGAGUUAAACAGUACGUGAAAUUGUUGAAAGGGAAGCGCUUGCAAUCAGACUUGCUUUCGGUUGAUCAACGUUCCUUUUGGUACGUGCACUCUGCCGUUUGCAGGCCAGCAUCAGUUGGUGCGGUGGGACAAAGGUUGCGGGAAUGUGGCUCACUUCGGUGAGUGUUAUAGCUCGUUUCGUAAUGCCACCAGCGCCGACUGAGGUCCGCGGUUUUCCUAGGAUGCUGGCUUAAUGGUUGU
rnacentral:rRNA from 1 species